GCCGGCCGCCGGAGGUUAAACCCCUCCCUACUGCU
rnacentral:tRNA from 1 species